rnacentral:lncRNA from 1 species
GUCCAUAUUAAUUACUACUACAAGUCCUUAAUUGCUGAAAGUUUAUCGUAGCCUGAAAAUAUAAAUUGUUAUCAUUGAAUUUUUAACUCGUUAAUAUGCACAAAAUUUCCACAGAAAACUAACAAGCUCUAACACAAAAUCAGUGAAGUCCAGCCAAUCAAUUCGCUAAAAUGUUGAUUUUAUGCAGCAUUAAAACAACAUGCACGUCCUCUCCAAAAUGUUAAUCUGUGCAUACGCAAAGACUUUCUGAAUCUGAU